GUCAUUGUUGUCAUUGUUCAUUCUACCCUGUAAUUUAUGCAUCAUAUUUUGACUGUCGAUUGCAUCACCCUUCAAGUCAUACACGUCCUUCGCAGCCGUUUCCAUUCCAUUCUCGUCCCAAUAUAUAGUAUGUUAAGUAUUUAUUACAUAGUUGACAUCGAAAAUACCAAAUUGACUAGCACAAUAUGCUCUAGCUAACUGUGUUUACAAACCCAAUGAAACGUCAUGUCCGGCUACAUCAUGCCAUCCUGGCCACCCACGAGAUCACCCAGACGGUGACCAAGGGUUACCAAGUGUUUUAAUCACUAAUGUUCGACUCUGAGUGGGAAAGUUGAUGAAUUAAGCUAAGCG